ACAAAAAAAAACCCGACGAUUUCUCUUCACCUUCACGCACAGCUGCAGCUUCUCCUUCACCUUCCCGCUCAACACACACAGGCUGCACAACUCAUCUCUCUCUCGGCCGAGCUUCGCUCUUCAAACCCGAAGCAGAUAGAUUCGACCAUUUGAAUGGAGAUGAGAAGGUAGCAAGAGGAUUUCUGGUAAAGAAUGCUAAGCUUAGAAAGUUUUGGUUGGACAACAUCUUCAAAAAUCAUGGAAAUUAGAAUUUGCGUAUUAUUGAUAUGUAGUAAGAUACUAAUUAACUUGGAUGGUAGUUCUUUGGCCAAAAUAUUAUAAUAUUUGUGGUUGAAUUUUAGAAUUCAUGGUAAUUUUUUGUUCAAGCAAGAUGAAAGUAACUUACUUGCCCUUU